CCUACGGGGGGCAGCAGUGAGGAAUAUUGGUCAAUGGGCGCGAGUCUGAACCAGCCAAGUAGCGUGAAGGAUGACUGCCCUAUGGGUUGUAAACUUCUUUUAUAUGGGAAUAAAAUGUUCCACGUGUGCGUUUUUGUAUGUACCAUAUGAAUAAGGAUCGGCUAACUCCGUGCCAGCAGCCGCGGUAAUACGGAGGAUCCGAGCGUUAUCCGGAUUUAUUGGGUUUAAAGGGAGCGUAGGUGGAUUGUUAAGUCAGUUGUGAAAGUUUGCGGCUCAACCGUAAAAUUGCAGUUGAAACUGGCAGUCUUGAGUACAGUAGAGGUGGGCGGAAUUCGUGGUGUAGCGGUGAAAUGCUUAGAUAUCACGAAGAACUCCGAUUGCGAAGGCAGCUCACUGGACUGCAACUGACACUGAGGCUCGAAAGUGUGGGUAUCAAACAGGAUUAGAUACCCCAGUAGUC
rnacentral:rRNA from 1 species